ACCAGGAGUCAUCACAAAACCAACAGUGUGAGACUUGCUUGAGUGAGAGAAAGCAAGGGGAGGGAGAAUUCCAUAACCAUUACCAAAAUAAAUCCCACAUUUGAAACAACUUUCCCAGAAAGUCAGUUAACUCCCCAGGGCUUGUCCCAGAGUCUGGAGCACAUGACCUUUACUCUACCAACAUGUUCUUUGCCCUCUGACUUCCCUCUGGUGGGGCGUUUGCAAGAGAAUUGGGCGACUCGGCCUCAGCCUGAAAUAACCUCUGGCACUCCAGGAUCACAGGGAGCCUGGAGCCUGUCCAAGGAAACCCGGGGCACAAGUCAGGGGACACCCUGGAUGGGGUGCAAACCCAUCACAAGCACAAUCACUACUAAUGCCAACCAGCCUACAAUGCCUACAAUGUCUUUGGACUGAGGGGGGAAAGAGGAGUAAUCAGAGGAAACCCCCAAAACACAAGGACAACUCCGCUCACACAGAGCAGAGAAGCAGACAGAGAUGAUGACAGCUCCGGAGAUGACUCUCCCUGGCCACGCUGCACCUUCAGCCAAUACCCUCUGGCAGUGCCAUGCUGUCUGGGUCUGCCUCGAGCCUGCUCCAGCCCGCCCGCCACUCCCCACUAUGGGAAGACAACACUACGAACAGCCUCCACUAAAUUACCUGAUGCCCUCACCUUCCCCCUUUCUCCACUUAUAA